GGUUAAGCGACUAAGCGUACACGGUGGAUGCCUAGGCAAUCAGAGGCGAUGAAGGACGUGCUAAUCUGCGAUAAGCGUCGGUAAGGUGAUAUGAACCGUUAUACCCGACGAUUUCCGAAUGGGGAAACCCAGUGCAAUUCGUUGCACUAUCGUUUGAUGAAUACAUAGUCAAACGAAGCGAACCGGGGGAACUGAAACAUCUCAGUACCCCGAGGAAAAGAAAUCAACCGAGAUUCCCCUAGUAGCGGCGAGCGAACGGGGAGCAGCCCAGAGUCUUAAUCAGCAUUAGUAUCAGGAGAACGGUCUGGAAAGUCCGGCAGUAAAGGGUGAUAGCCCCGUAUCUGAAGAUAUUAGUGUUGUGAACUCGACGAGUAGGGCGGGACACGUGUUAUCCUGUCUGAAUAUGGGGGGACCAUCCUCCAAGGCUAAAUACUCCUGAUUGACCGAUAGUGAACCAGUACCGUGAGGGAAAGGCGAAAAGAACCCCGGCGAGGGGAGUGAAAUAGAACCUGAAACCGUGUACGUACAAGCAGUGGGAGCCUUGAUUUAUCAGGGUGACUGCGUACCUUUUGUAUAAUGGGUCAGCGACUUAUAUUCUGUAGCAAGGUUAACCGUAUAGGGGAGCCGUAGGGAAACCGAGUCUUAACUGGGCGAAUGAGUUGCAGGGUAUAGACCCGAAACCCGGUGAUCUAGCCAUGGGCAGGUUGAAGGUUGGGUAACACUAACUGGAGGACCGAACCGACUAAUGUUGAAAAAUUAGCGGAUGACUUGUGGCUGGGGGUGAAAGGCCAAUCAAACCGGGAGAUAGCUGGUUCUCCCCGAAAGCUAUUUAGGUAGCGCCUCGUGAACUCAUCUUCGGGGGUAGAGCACUGUUUCGACUAGGGGGUCAUCCCGACUUACCAACUCGAUGCAAACUACGAAUACCGAAGAAUGUUAUCACGGGAGACACACGGCGGGUGCUAACGUUCGUCGUGAAGAGGGAAACAACCCAGACCGCCAGCUAAGGUCCCAAAGUCAUAGUUAAGUGGGAAACGAAGUGGGAAGGCUCAGACAGCCAGGAUGUUGGCUUAGAAGCAGCCAUCAUUUAAAGAAAGCGUAAUAGCUCACUGGUCGAGUCGGCCUGCGCGGAAGAUGUAACGGGGCUAAACUAUGCACCGAAGCUGCGGCAGCGAUAUGUAAAUAUUGUUGGGUAGGGGAGCGUUCUGUAAGCCUGUGAAGGUGUACUGUGAGGUAUGCUGGAGGUAUCAGAAGUGCGAAUGCUGACAUAAGUAACGAUAAUGCGGGUGAAAAACCCGCACGCCGGAAGACCAAGGGUUCCUGUCCAACGUUAAUCGGGGCAGGGUGAGUCGACCCCUAAGGCGAGGCAGAAAUGCGUAGUCGAUGGGAAACGGGUUAAUAUUCCCGUACUGGUGAUAAUUGCGAUGGGGGGACGGAGAAGGCUAGGCUGGCCGGGCGACGGUUGUCCCGGUUUAAGGAUGUAGGCAGGUGAAUUAGGCAAAUCCGGUUCACUAUAUGCUGAGGUCUGAUGACGAGUCACUACGGUGGCGAAGUAGCUCAUGCCCCGCUUCCAGGAAAAGCCUCUAAGCUCUAGAUUAUCAUUAAUCGUACCCCAAACCGACACAGGUGGUCAGGUAGAGAAUACUCAGGCGCUUGAGAGAACUCGGGUGAAGGAACUAGGCAAAAUGGUGCCGUAACUUCGGGAGAAGGCACGCUGGCGCUAGGUGAAGUGGUUUACCCAUGGAGCUGAAGCCAGUCGCAGAUACCAGCUGGCUGCAACUGUUUAUUAAAAACACAGCACUGUGCAAACACGAAAGUGGACGUAUACGGUGUGACGCCUGCCCGGUGCUGGAAGGUUAAUUGAUGGGGUUAUCCGUAAGGAGAAGCUCUUGAUCGAAGCCCCAGUAAACGGCGGCCGUAACUAUAACGGUCCUAAGGUAGCGAAAUUCCUUGUCGGGUAAGUUCCGACCUGCACGAAUGGCGUAAUGAUGGCCAGGCUGUCUCCACCCGAGACUCAGUGAAAUUGAACUCGCUGUGAAGAUGCAGUGUACCCGCGGCAAGACGGAAAGACCCCGUGAACCUUUACUAUAGCUUGACACUGAACAUUGAGCCUUGAUGUGUAGGAUAGGUGGGAGGCUUUGAAGUGUGGACGCCAGUCUGCAUGGAGCCAACCUUGAAAUACCACCCUUUAAUGUUUGAUGUUCUAACGUUGCCCCGUUAUCCGGGGUGCGGACAGUGUCUGGUGGGUAGUUUGACUGGGGCGGUCUCCUCCCAAAGAGUAACGGAGGAGCACGAAGGUUGGCUAAGCAUGGUCGGACAUCAUGCGGUUAGUGCAAAGGCAUAAGCCAGCUUGACUGCGAGAGUGACGGCUCGAGCAGGUACGAAAGUAGGUCUUAGUGAUCCGGUGGUUCUGAAUGGAAGGGCCAUCGCUCAACGGAUAAAAGGUACUCCGGGGAUAACAGGCUGAUACCGCCCAAGAGUUCAUAUCGACGGCGGUGUUUGGCACCUCGAUGUCGGCUCAUCACAUCCUGGGGCUGAAGUAGGUCCCAAGGGUACGGCUGUUCGCCGUUUAAAGUGGUACGCGAGCUGGGUUUAGAACGUCGUGAGACAGUUCGGUCCCUAUCUGCCGUGGGCGUUGGAAGAUUGAAAGGGGCUGCUCCUAGUACGAGAGGACCGGAGUGGACGCACCACUGGUGUUCGGGUUGUCAUGCCAAUGGCAUUGCCCGGUAGCUAAGUGCGGAAGAGAUAACCGCUGAAAGCAUCUAAGCGGGAAACUUGCCUUGAGAUGAGUCUUCCCUGACCCUUUAAGGGUCCUAAAGGAACGUUUAAGACUAAGACGUUGAUAGGUUGGGUGUGUAAGCAUAGCGAUAUGUUGAGCUAACCAAUACUAAUGAACCGUGAGGCUUAACCUG
rnacentral:rRNA from 1 species